rnacentral:rRNA from 1 species
CACCGCCCGUCGCUCCUACCGAUUGAAUGGUUCGGUGAAGUGUUCGGAUCGCGGCGACGGGGGCGGUUCGCCGCCCCCGACGUCGCGAGAAGUCCAUUGAACCUUAUCAUUUAGAGGAAGGAGAAGUCGUAACAAGGUUUCCGUAGGUGAACCUGCGGAAG